AAGCUAAGCUGACACAACCGACUUUGGUCACUAGACACACUCUCUCACCUGCACACCCAUGUGGGGACUUCAGGAAGCUGCAGAAAAGUCAUGUGCAUCCAGGGACGCGCCGGGUGCGUCUCCGCCCUGCAGCAGCCGCCAGAUGCAAUCAUUCACCGGCAAUCAGCGCACCUGCCUGUGAUGAGCGAGCUGCCUUCUUAAGCCUGCUCAACCUGCCAUCCCGCGCCGGAAUAUAAUCUUCUGUUGGCGUACAUACCCUCCGUCAUCUUGAGAGUGAGCUGUGCGUCUCAAUUUUCCCUGGAUCUCCUUCUGGACUCUGACUGCCUCCCUCGAUCCUUGACUUCCCCCACUUCGGACUCGGACCUGUAGACUUCUCUCUCCCAUGGACUUCCUCGUCUCUCGUUCAACAUUUACGGUAACACAUAACAGCUAAUCUACACACAUAGUCUUACACCAUACACACUCGUGGAUUUUGUCACACUCCAUUUCCUUAGUUAGUAUAUUUAGUAUUGUUUGAUUAUAUAUAUAUACACUACCGUUCAAAAGUUUGGGGUCACAUUGAAAUGUCCUUAUUUUUGAAGGAAAAGCACUGUACUUUUCAAUGAAGAUAACUUUAAACUUGUCUUAACUUUAAAGAAAUACACUCUAUACAUUGCUAAUGUGGUAAAUGACUAUUGUAGCUGCAAAUGUCUGGUUUUUGGUGCAAUAUCUACAUAGGUGUAUAGAGGCCCAUUUUGGAGAUUUGCUCCAUAAUUGAUGACACACACAAUGUAGUUGCUUUUAAAAGUGCAUUGUGGUUUGUGAUUCUAAGAAAAAAAGAUAACUAAGAAAUACAUAACCUGACAAUGUGAUUAUUGUUACCCAUUGCAAUUAUAUGUGUGACAAAGAAAAGAGGCAAUAAAUACUAACCUUUGUAUUCAGUUCAAUAACGCAGCAAACAUUUAAGAAAUAAAUGCCAGUUUAACAAAGUAAAACAAAAUACAGGAAAUAAUUUUUUUUUUAAAUACCUGGUAAAAAAAACAAGAAACAACAAGCAGUCUUUAGGUAAAUAAAGCAUGAUGACUAACCAAGG